AUUGAACGCUGGCGGCAUGCCUUACACAUGCAAGUCGAACGGUAACGGGCCUUCGGGUGCCGACGAGUGGCGAACGGGUGAGUAAUGUAUCGGAACGUACCUUUCAGUGGGGGAUAACGUAGCGAAAGUUACGCUAAUACCGCAUAUUCUGUGAGCAGGAAAGCAGGGGAUCGCAAGACCUUGCGCUGAUUGAGCGGCCGAUAUCAGAUUAGCUAGUUGGUGAGGUAAAGGCUCACCAAGGCGACGAUCUGUAGCGGGUCUGAGAGGAUGAUCCGCCACACUGGAACUGAGACACGGUCCAGGCUCCUACGGGAGGCAGCAGUGGGGAAUUUUGGACAAUGGGGGGCAACCCUGAUCCAGCCAUGCCGCGUGAGUGAAGAAGGCC
rnacentral:rRNA from 1 species